rnacentral:rRNA from 1 species
CCUACGGGUGGCAGCAGUCAAGAAUCUUUCUCAAUGGGCGAGACCCUGAUCCUGCCACGCCGCGUGAAGGAUUAAGGAUCUUUGGUUUGUAAACUUCUUUUAUGUGGGAAUAAAGUGAGAAGCGUGUUCCUUUUUAUAAGUACCAUAUUAAUUCGCUUCCGCUAACCCCGUGCAAGCAGCCGUGGUAAUCCGGAGGAUCAGAGCCUUAUCCGGAGUCAUUGGGUGUAAAGGGCGCGUAGAUGGGUUGGUAAGUCAGUUGUGAAAGGUGGCGGCUCAACCGUCAAAUGGCAAGUGAUACUGGCAGUCUAGAGUACAGGAGAGGUAGGCGGAAUUCGUGGUGUAGCAGUGAAAUGCGUAGAUAUCGCGAGGAACACUGAUUGCGAAGGCAGCUUACUGAAC